UGCCCAGACUCCUACGGGAGGCAGCAGUGGGGAAUAUUGCACAAUGGGCGAAAGCCUGAUGCAGCAACGCCGCGUGAAGGAAGACGGUUUUCGGAUUGUAAACUUCUGUUCUUAGUGAAGAAUAAUGACGGUAACUAAGGAGCAAGCCACAGCUAACUACGUGCCAGCAGCCGCGGUAAUACGUAGGUGGCAAGCGUUGUCCGGAAUUACUGGGUGUAAAGGGAGCGUAGGCGGGAAGCCAAGUCAGAUGUGAAAACCACGGGCUCAACCUGUGGCCUGCAUUUGAAACUGUGUUUCUUGAGUACUGGAGAGGCAGACGGAAUUCCUAGUGUAGCGGUGAAAUGCGUAGAUAUUAGGAGGAACACCAGUGGCGAAGGCGGUCUGCUGGACAGCAACUGACGCUGAGGCGCGAAAGCGUGGGGAGCAAACAGGAUUAGAUACCCGGGUAU
rnacentral:rRNA from 1 species